rnacentral:tRNA from 1 species
AAUAAGUUGCCUGAUAAAAGGAUUAUUUUGAUAGAAUAAAUUAUGUGAUUAUUCACACUU